GACGAACGCUGGCGGCGUGCCUAAUACAUGCAAGUAGAACGCUGAAGCUUGGUGCUUGCACCGAGCGGAUGAGUUGCGAACGGGUGAGUAACGCGUAGGUAACCUGCCUGGUAGCGGGGGAUAACUAUUGGAAACGAUAGCUAAUACCGCAUAACAGUAGAUAUCGCAUGAUAGCUACUUGAAAGGUGCAAAUGCACCACUACCAGAUGGACCUGCGUUGUAUUAGCUAGUUGGUGAGGUAACGGCUCACCAAGGCAACGAUACAUAGCCGACCUGAGAGGGUGAUCGGCCACACUGGGACUGAGACACGGCCCAGACUCCUACGGGAGGCAGCAGUAGGGAAUCUUCGGCAAUGGACGGAAGUCUGACCGAGCAACGCCGCGGGAGUGAAGAAGGUUUUCGGAUCGUAAAGCUCUGUUGUAAGAGAAGAACGAGUGUGAGAGUGGAAAGUUCACAAUGUGACGGUAUCUUACCAGAAAGGGACGGCUAACUACGUG
rnacentral:rRNA from 1 species